AUGGCUGCAGUCACCAUCUGCAGUGAUUUUGGAGCCCCAAAAAAUAAAGACACUAUGUCUAUAAUGUCUUUUCUCCCACAGGGGCUCCUUGGAGCCUUCAUGGACCCCCUACGAGAACGUUAUCUACCCCCUCCAACUCCAUCUGAUGCAGGAGAAACACUGAGGCUCAGAGAGGAGAUGGACUUGCCCAGACUCCCCAGAGGGAAAGGGGCAAGGAUGGAGGUGGAAAGGCCUGAGCUACAUUCUGCUGUCAAGGGUCUUAGAUGCCGAGAUGGAGGUGUCAUACCUACCCCAUCGGGUGAUGAUGAAAAUUACAUGACACUAUGCAGAAAGGGCAUCGGUUCCCAUCGCCUGCACCACCGAAAAGCUUCUGCAAGUGCAAAAAGUCACAUUAUUUGUUAGUCACAGGAACAGAGACUACAAGAGACUGAACUGAAGCCACACGGCAGGCAGAGCUGAGGAGGGACCAAGACUCCCGCUUGGUAACUUUAGCAAGAGGUGGCAAAGCGCGGGGCUGUGCGCGAGGCCCUGGAGUCAGGCUAAUGGCCUGCCACUCACAAGCUCGGUGACCUGAGGCAGCUUCCUAAGCUUCUCUGUGCCUCCUGUUCUCCAUCUGUAAAAUGAAGAUUAUAAUAGCACACCGGUCCCCGUAGGGUUGCUGGAAGCAGUUAAUUUGUGUCAAGUGCUUGGAGGAGUGCCUUCGUGGAGUACCAAGAAAACAGUUCAGAUAGUGCUGUGUGACCUUCAGCAAGUCCCUUCCCUCUCUGGGCCUCUGCUUCACCCCUGGAAAACGAAUCGUUAGACUAGUUCAGCCGGAGGUUCCUUCCUUCUGGCUUUGACGUCUGCCAUUCUGGGGAGUGGAGGCGCGAUCCCCACUGUUUCGGUCCUCACACCCCUGAGGGCAGGGUCCCUCUUCAGCCCCUGUCUACCCUUCUCCUCUCCCCUGUUCCAGGAGAGACACAGGCACCAGAGGGGGGGGUGGUGCUGGCGGUGAAGGAGCAGGGAGGCAGCCCAGGCUGGGGCAGUGGGAGGGGAUAGACGCCUCCGACCAGCUCUCUUUCCGGUUCCCACUGCUCUCUGUGCCCCGGGGGUGGGCAGGCCCCUGCUCCCCUCUGACCCGGGAGGGUGCCUACCAAGGCAGGGCUGGCUUGCCCCCUCCAUCAGGACGGAGGAACCCCCAGGGGAGUCCCCUCCUUGGCUCGGCAGAGUCAGGCAGGGUUUGCCCAAGAAUGAAGACAGCAGAGACCAGGAACCGAGCCCUGACAGCUGGGGAGCCUCAGGCCGGGGGACCCCCAAUUCUCUGAGCCUGUCUUGGGGUCAGCGCAGACUAGGCCAUGUCUUGGGCCCUCCUGGACCUGGUGACACAGAUGUCCCAACCCAGGGAGGUAAGAGCUCAAAGUUCCCGACUGGAAACCCCGGACCAGGAAGCAAAUGCUACUCUCCUUCAGCCCUCCCCUGACCCUCCCCGCACCUGCGGCCAUUGUUUCCAAGGAAAUCAGGCCUCAACCAGGAGGAGGCAGCCUCCCUUCCACCCUCCCCACACCCUCUGCCCUCCCCAGGGACGUUCCCAGGCCUCCCUCAGCCCCACCCCAUUUCCUUCCCACUCCCUGGCUGGGGCCUCAGCUGCCCAUUAGUCCAUCUUUCCAUCCAUCCAUCCAUCCCUUUACUCCACACAUAGCUUUUUGCUAGACACUGCACUCGAGGCCACGGAUGCCUAUAAAAUCUGACAAAGCUUCUGUCUCUAUGGACUCCCUGCUCAGGGCAGGAGACGGAGAAGCAGAAAGACUGUUUGAUAAGGUGAGAUCUGUGUCCCGAUCCCAGGGCCCCCGACACUGGCAGGAUCGGGGAAGGCUUCUCAGGGGAGACGAUGCCCAUGCUGGACUCAGUGAUUAAGUAUGAGGGCACAUGGAGAAGUCUGGAAGCGAGUCUGUCAGUGAGGGCCUGCUGCACUCACUGUUGGUCACCAGUGUCUGGAACAGCGUAACGUGCAACUGGUGCUCAGUGUGUGUGUGUGUGUGUGUGUGUGUGUGCGUGCGCACUUAGUCGUGUCCGACUCUGUGCGACCCCAUAGACCGCAGCCCACCAGGCCCCUCCGUCCAUGGGAUUCUUCAGGCAAGAACACUGGAGUGGGUUGCCAUUUCCUUCUCCAAAAGGAAUUACAGAAAGAAAGAAACUGAUGUCACUCAGUCCUGUCCUACUCCUUGCGACCCCAUGGACUGUAGCCCACCAGGCCCCUCUGUCCACGGGAUUCUCCAGGCAAGAGCACUGGAGUGGGCUGCCACUUCCUGCUCUGGUGCUCAGCAGGUGUUGGAACAAGUCACAGUGUUUGGGGACAACGUCCCACAGCUCUUGGAGCUGAAGCGGCCGCUGUGCCUGUGAGCUGAAGCAUCGUGGGUGCUAGUGGAUAGGACCACGUGGCGCCUCUGGGGCCCCAGAGACCCCACACACUUGCUCUGAGGGCAGUAGGGGGCCACGGGGGCCAUAAGCGGCCCAGGGACACCCGCCUCACCCUCCGUUCCCUUCCCCGAUCUAAUCUUCUGAUCAGCCCUGUAGCAGCUGCCCUUUCUCUCAGCCAAGUCCAUAUCAUCUGGUGGUUUGUGGAAAUAAGCACAUGUUAAGCACCUACUGCAUGCCAGAUGUUUUAUUGGGAGCUGGAAAUGAAUUGAACAGUCCUGCCCACACAUUACCCACAGUCCAGGACUGAGACUCAUUAUGAGUAUAGUUGAUUUACAAGGUUGUGUUCAGAUCAGAUCAGUCACUCAGUCGUGUCCGACUCUUUGCAACCCCAUGAAUCGCAGCACGCCGGGCCUCCCUGUCCAUCACCAACUCCUGGAGUUCACUCAGACUCACGUCCAUCAAGUUAGUGAUGCCAUCCAGCCAUCUCAUCCUCUGUCGUCCCCUUCUCCUCUUGCCCCCAAUCCAUCCCAGUAUCAGAGUCUUUUCCAAUGAGUCAACUCUUCGCAUGAGGUGGCCAAAGUACUGGAGUUUCAGCUUUAGCAUCAUUCCUUCCAAAGAAAUCCCAGGGCUGAUCUCCUUCAGAAUGGACUGGUUGGAUCUCGUUG
rnacentral:lncRNA from 1 species